rnacentral:lncRNA from 1 species
AGGGAUUCAAAACAAAAUAAAAUAAAAGAACAAAUUAUCUAUGGCGGGCUUGCAAUGGGUAUUGGGCUUUGCUUCGAGAAUUCAAGGGAAAAAUCACCAGUUUCGAACUUUCUAGGGUUCUACCUGUCUUUGAUUUAAAAUUCGAGCAGCUCAGGUGAUAUUCGAAGAGAAAUACCAAUGGAUUUGGGGAGAGGGAGGUAUGGGGGUUGUUUGGUGUGAUUUUGAGGCAGCUUUGAAAUAACGUCGCCGGAAACGGCGGAGCCGGCAACCAUUUCCUUGAAUAUUCGAGAUGAUUUGUGGGGAUUUGAGAGAAACGAGGCCCAGAUAUUGAAAGGAGAGGUAGAGGAGCAAUCUAUGGUGUAAUAUUGGGAUUAUUUGGAGAAUCGCCGCCGGCAGAGGCAAUUUCCGGCCAGCGACGGGCGGUAGAGGGACGGUGGGAGACGGUGACAUUACACCGGUGUAUGUUGG